AGGUUAAGCUACAAAGAGCACACGGAGGAUGCCUAGGCGCCAGGAGCCGACGAAGGACGUGGCGAACAACGAUAAGGCCUCGGGGAGCUGUAAGCAAGCUUUGAUCCGGGGAUGUCCGAAUGGGGAAACCCGGCUGUCUUCAUCGACAGUCACUUUCUGCUGAAUACAUAGGCAGAAUAGAGGCAGACCAGGGGAACUGAAACAUCUAAGUACCCUGAGGAAGAGAAAACAAUAGUGAUUCCGUCAGUAGCGGCGAGCGAACGCGGAUUAGCCCAAACCAAGGAGCUUGCUCCUUGGGGUUGUGGGACGUCUCACAUGGAGUUACAAAGGAACCGGUUAGAUGAAGAGGUCUGGAAAGGCCCGCCAGAGAAGGUAAAAGCCCUGUAGUUCAAAACUUGUUCUCUCCGAGACGGAUCCCGAGUAGUGCGGGGCACGUGAAACCCCGUAUGAAUCCGGCAGGACCAUCUGCCAAGGCUAAAUACUCCCUGGCGACCGAUAGUGAAGCAGUACCGUGAGGGAAAGGUGAAAAGCACCCCGGAAGGGGAGUGAAAUAGAUCCUGAAACCGUGUGCUUACAAGAAGUCAGAGCCCGAUCUAUGGGUGAUGGCGUGCCUUUUGUAGAAUGAACCGGCGAGUUACGUUCCCGUGCAAGGUUAAGGUGAAGAGCUGAAGCCGCAGCGAAAGCGAGUCUGAAUAGGGCGAAUGAGUACGUGGACGUAGACCCGAAACCGGGUGAUCUACCCCUGUCCAGGGUGAAGGUGCGGUAACACGCACUGGAGGCCCGAACCCACGCAUGUUGAAAAAUGCGGGGAUGAGGUGGGGGUAGCGGAGAAAUUCCAAUCGAACCCGGAGAUAGCUGGUUCUCCCCGAAAUAGCUUUAGGGCUAGCCUCGGAAAUAGAAUCGUGGAGGUAGAGCACUGAUUGGGUGCGGGGCCCGCAAGGGUUACCAAGCUCAGUCAAACUCCGAAUGCCAUAGAUUUAGUUCCGGGAGUCAGACAGUGAGUGCUAAGAUCCAUUGUCGAAAGGGAAACAGCCCAGACCAUCAGCUAAGGUCCCCAAGUGUGUGUUAAGUGGGAAAGGAUGUGGAGUUGCACAGACAACCAGGAUGUUGGCUUAGAAGCAGCCACCAUUGAAAGAGUGCGUAAUAGCUCACUGGUCGAGUGACUCUGCGCCGAAAAUGUAACGGGGCUAAACACACCACCGAAGCUAUGGCUUGAUGCUUGCAUCAGGGGUAGGGGAGCGUUGAAUGCGGGUUGAAGGUGUACCGUAAGGAGCGCUGGACUGCAUUCAAGUGAGAAUGCCGGUAUGAGUAACGAAAAGAUCUGUGAGAAUCAGAUCCGCCGAAAGCCUAAGGGUUCCUGAGGAAGGUUCGUCCGCUCAGGGUAAGUCGGGACCUAAGGCGAGGCCGAUAGGCGUAGUCGAAGGACAACAGGUCGAAAUUCCUGUACCACCGUAAUCCGUUAUGAGC
rnacentral:rRNA from 1 species